CCGCUGGUAAAAUAAAGUAAUCCAAGAAAAGCGCUGAAUGAAGGCAAUAUCCCAAAUGCCCCAGUAACCGGACGAAACACAGUUCUGGGAGUCAACUGAGGGCUUUAUUGAAACAGCACCAAAUUUAUGUGAUUUUCACUGUACAGGGUUUCCAGACUGGGACAACAGGGGUUUUAAUCAGAUGGACUGUGUGGGAAACUGACCGUGCAGGGUCAUUUCCCAGCAUCCCCUGCUGUCCAGGGACAAAGAUGAC